rnacentral:tRNA from 1 species
GCGGGGUUAGCUCAGCUGGGAGAGCGUCAGACUGAAGUCCACUUCAGACUCCUGAAAUCUGAAGGUCAUGUGUUCGAUCCACAUACACCGCA